UACGAAGGGGGCUAGCGUUGUUCGGAAUCACUGGGCGUAAAGGGCGCGUAGGCGGAUGUGUAAGUCAGGGGUGAAAUCCCGGAGCUCAACUCCGGAACUGCCUUUGAUACUGAAGAUCUUGAGUUCGGGAGAGGUGAGUGGAAUUCCUAGUGUAGAGGUGAAAUUCGUAGAUAUUAGGAAGAACACCGGUGGCGAAGGCGGCUCACUGGACCGAUACUGACGCUGAGGCACGAAAGCGUGGGGAGCAAACAGG
rnacentral:rRNA from 1 species